rnacentral:sRNA from 1 species
CCUCACAUUAUACUUCAACAACAUGUCUGCCUAAACAAGCUCUGAAGAAGGACAACACCAAUAGAAAUGUUAAUGCGGAUAGGAGACUCUCAAGGGGACCCACUAAAGGACAAAAACUACAGGCAACUAAGAAACUGAAAGAAAUUUCAACAAAGCAAUUCCAAUAUAAAUAUACUAUAGUCCUAUAGGCCCACAAGAGACUGAACUGUUGUCCACAAUAUACUGAGCCCAGUAGGAGAGGGAGUCAAGAUGCUUCAUUUUUACUUGAACCAAUACUACCUAAAGGUGAAAGAUGACAAGACAUGAGUAAAUUGCUAAAGACCCAGAAAGACCAGAAAGACAGCAUCAGGACCUCCUACAUGACUACUAGGUACAAGCUUCAAAUUCCACAUACUUGAUACACUUACUUGUGAAUGGAAUUCCAGAAGCUCAUGGAAAAUAAUUUAUUGGGCCUACAUUUAAGAUGCAGAAACCAAGAACCAAAUGAUUACGACAGAUUGCAGACAACUGGGACAGAAACGAGUUGUUCACUUAGAGGCACUACAAUUAGCGUGCCCAAGAGACCACGAAGUAACCGAGAAUGAGAGUAAUACCUAUUCAAGUCUCUUGAAACUCAAUAAUGGGAACUAACUGAAAGAAGAAUUCUUACAUCUUGAAUUGGAAAUGAGAAUAAGUUUGUUAUUGGUAAAGAGAAGAAAGAAUAUAUAUGGUUCACGAACAGAAUAUAACUAGAAAUCCUGUGUGAGUAGAAGUGUUGAUGCACAUCUAAGAUCAGAAAAACAGCAUCAGCACUGUGCUGUUUCAAAACGUAUUGUUUUGAGAAAGAAAAUGCUCUAAUAGAUUUUUAAUGUGAUUUCAUUUAUACUAUAAAACAGUAUAU